rnacentral:rRNA from 1 species
AUUGAACGCUGGCGGCAGGCCUAACACAUGCAAGUCGAACGAGUGGCGGACGGGUGAGUAAUGUCUGGGAACCUGCCCGAUGGAGCGGGAUAACUCCUGUAAACGGUAGCUAAUACCGCAUACCGUCGGCUGUGCCCCGAUGGGAUUAGCUAGUAGGUGGGGUAACGGCGCACCUAGGCGACGAUCCCUAGCUGGUCUGAGAGGAUGACCAGCCACACUGGAACUGAGACACGGUCCAGACUCCUACGGGAGGCAGCAGUGGGGAAUAUUGCACAAUGGGCGCAAGCCUGAUGCAGCCAUGCCGCGUGUAUGAAGAAGGUCUUCGGGUUGUAAAGUACUUUCAGCGAGGAGGCGUUACUCGCAGAAGAAGCACCGGCUAACUCCGUGCCAGCAGCCGCGGUAAUAC